rfam:Ipomoea nil DNA, scaffold: scaffold1416, cultivar: Tokyo-kokei standard.
GUUGAGAUGGCCGAGUUGGUCUAAGGCACUAGAUUAAGGUAUUGGUCCGGAAGGGUGUGGGUUCAAAUCCCACUUUCAACA